CUAAAAGAACUGUUGGCAUUGCCAUUCUUAGAUCAUCAUACAUUUUCAUUGUGCAAAGCAGAGAGGAAACAGGAUAUCACUCCUUCUGUGAGCACUAUGCCAUCCAGAAAACAUACCAUAGACUGACAUGUAACUUAUAAAUUGCUUUUUGACCACAUUGAUUGCAAUUACAGAAUAAAGAGUAAUCGUAGCAGGAAGGCUAGAGAAAAUGCUUCUCCACAGGAGCCUAGCAUGCCUGGUUUAUCAAAGAAGAGAAUAAAGAACAUCUGAUUAUGGUGCACAUGAACACCUUCAUGGUGAAAAACAGAUAACCUCCAAGGGCUGCCUAACCUAGAACAGAAACGCGCUGCAAGAAUCAAUGGUAAGACAUUACAGCUAAAAAUAGCAACAAAUUCAGAAAUAAGCAACAAUUUAGCUCUGACACAUUACUGAGACAGAUUAUGAAUAGAAGCAGCACAUUUCUUUUUUUGGUUUUAGAUAAUGUUUUCAUUAAACACAAGCCACCUCCUGUCUAACAUGAGUUGGCACAGAGAAGUUCUGUGGAAUAGACUGCAGCGAUCAGGCAAGUUUUGCCAAGUUUCCUAUGAAAAUAAAACACGUCUUAGUGCUCAACACAGAUAUGGGUCUGUCCCACCACUUCUUGGUAAGUAAUUCUGAAAACCAAUGCCAGUUUUAAGCAACUACAACAGAAAGGUAAGGGGGGGUCUAGAAUACUAAGUCAUUGAAUGGUUUGUGAAAACAGAAGAGAUCUCACAUUCCCCAUAGAGGAAAUGGCUACAGCAUUGGCCACCCAAAGAAGCCACAAGUGAGGAGGUAAGAUGCACACAUAAACACUUUGAAAUAAGGCUUCUUUAGUUUUGCAUAAGUGAGAAUAUGAUGAAGGCAACAUCAUGCUAUGGCUACUGAUCUAAAAUGCAGCCUGUAUCCUGGUGUCAAUACGAUGACCUAUUCUGGCCUUAGAAACUAAAUAAGAGUGCAUUACUUUUUCUCCAAACCUGUUAUAUAGUAGGCAUCUUGCAUGAAUCUUAGUCUGAGGAACUCUCUAAGCAGAAAAAAAACAAGAUGGACAAUAUUGCUUUUCUUAUUCAUCUGAAUUCCAC
ensembl:lncRNA